rnacentral:rRNA from 1 species
UACGAAGGGGGCUAGCGUUGUUCGGAAUUACUGGGCGUAAAGCGCACGUAGGCUGAUCGUUAAGUGAGGGGUGAAAUCCCGAGGCUCAACCUCGGAACUGCCCUUCAUACUGGCGAUCUCGAGUCCGGAAGAGGUUAGUGGAAUUCCCAGUGUAGAGGUGAAAUUCGUAGAUAUUGGGAAGAACACCAGUGGCGAAGGCGGCUAACUGGUCCGGUACUGACGCUGAGGUGCGAAAGCGUGGGGAGCAAACAGG